CGAGAGUGCAUUGUAGUUGCAUUGCAUGAAUAUUUGAAAGUGCAGUACUUCUGCAGUGCAACCCUUG
rnacentral:pre_miRNA from 12 species